UUCAUACUGGAGAAAGGCAUGAGUGC
rnacentral:piRNA from 1 species